UGUGCCGGGGAAUCCAGCAUCCUGUACGCGGGCGGGCUUUUCUUAAGGAGUUACCUCUCUCAAGUCAGCAGGGACAAAUUGCCUGGUAUAGGUUCUGAAUAUGAAGGUGAUGCAGACACCGUUGUGGAUGCUGUGGAGUUUGUACUUCAAAAUUUCACGGAGAUGAACAAACUUUGGGUGCGGAUGCAACAUCAGGUGUUGUAGUGCUUGUGAAUCAUUCAUACUCUUAGCUGAUCCUGAGUUGAGGGUUGCUAUCGGGCUUUCUGGUCUGCAGGGACCUGCCCGGGAAAAGGAGAAACGGGAGAAAGAGCGGAGCAAGCUACGUGAUCUUGUAUAGCUGGUUGGUUUUGCUGCAAUUGUACUGUACUCUCUACAUGUUGGGCGUCCACUUACAGAAUGUUAGAGAGGCCCAGACAAUAGGCCCAAUACAACUCAACUUGGAGGCAGCCCAGGAACAAAAGAAAAGGCAGCCCAGCUGCCUGGAAGAAAAGGGAGUGGCUCGGCAAGAGGUGCUGGAAGAAAAUAGUAAGCCGAACAGGGGAGAAGGAGCUGCACUCGACCGAGUAGAGGCAGGGACGGCUCGGAGCAGGCGUGGACGAGUGAGACCCGGUUGGCUGAGGGACUACGUGCUGAAGCUGGGUCACUGAGAGUUGGGAAGAACUUGCAUGCCCUCAGCCAGAUAGAGGGAAUUGAUCUCGAGAUGUACAAAGAAUCUGUUCUUCCUAGAGUCCUUGAGUUGAGCAGGUUGUCAAUUGUAAAGAUGAGAUUGCACAAUUCUAUCUGAUGGAUUGCAUAAUUCAAGUAUUCCCUGAUGAGUAUCACUUACAAACUCUUGAUGUAUUGUUGGGUGCCUGCCCCCAGCUUAUCAGCCAUCUCUUGAUAUCAAGACAGUGCUAUCCCAGUUGACGGAAAGGCUUUCAAAUUAUGCUGCUUCAAGUUCAGAAGUGUUGCCUGAGUUCUUGCAAGUAGAAGCUUUUUCCAAAUUGAGCAAUGCCAUUGGGAAGGGAAGAUUGAUGAAGAUGAUUUCAAUGAGGAGCAAAAUUCUGUUGCUCGACUUAUUCAGAUGCUCACUAAUGAUGAUCCAGAAGAGAUGUUCAAGUGAAUUCUGGAAUCCACUGGAGAAGAAACAUAAAAAAUGUGAUGGGAGACAUCAGCGCAUUAAUGGGAUUACCAACUCCAAAUGAAUAUUUUAAUAAAUCGUAACUGCCCAUACGAAAACAAAGCCUAACCUACUAUAACACUGAUUUCCUUAACACAUCAAAAAGUGUUAUGGUAUAUAUUUGAUAAUACUUUUUCAGUCUUAUUGAAAGUAUUUUUUUCUUGUAGUGAGUUAACGGAAAAAAAUGAAACAUCGUUAAAACAAAAAAGUUCCGUUAUCUACACAUUUUUUGACAUGUUGACAUGUUGUUUUGUUCAUUUUUGUAUUCUGUUAAAUUCAAUUUUGAAUCU